UGCCUCAUGGUGUAAAGGUAGCACAUCAGGUUUUGGUCCUGCUAGUCUUGGUUCGAAUCCAGGUGGGGUAACAA
rnacentral:tRNA from 1 species